rnacentral:tRNA from 1 species
GUACCCGUGGCUUAACUGGAUAAAGCGCCGCCCUCCGAAGGCGGAGAUUACAGGUUCGAUUCCUGUCGGGUACGCCA